rnacentral:rRNA from 1 species
AUUCGUAGCCACACUGGUCAUAGUCGAUCUUGCCUUUUCUCAGAAGCUAAGCAGCGGUGGGGCCUGGUUAGACCCUGGAUGGGGGACCACCUGAGAAUACCAGGUGUUGUGGCUA